UACAGAGGGGGCAAGCGUUGUUCGGAAUUACUGGGCGUAAAGGGCGCGUAGGCGGCCUGCUAAGUCGAACGUGAAAUCCCUGGGCUCAACCCAGGAACUGCGUCCGAUACUGGCUGGCUUGAAUUCGGGAGAGGGAUGCGGAAUUCCAGGUGUAGCGGUGAAAUGCGUAGAUAUCUGGAGGAACACCGGUGGCGAAGGCGGCAUCCUGGACCAAUAUUGACGCUGAGGAGCGAAAGCCAGGGGAGCAAACGGG
rnacentral:rRNA from 1 species